rnacentral:rRNA from 1 species
ACCCUUCGGAACACAAUACCCUCGGGAAACUGAGGCUAAUAGUGUAUACCAUAUCACCACUGGAAUGAGUGGUGUGCCAAACGCUCCGGCGCCGAAGGAUGUGGCUGCGGCCGAUUAGGUAGACGGUGGGGUAACGGCCCACCGUGCCAAUAAUCGGUACGGGUCAUGAGAGUGAGAACCCGGAGACGGAAUCUGAGACAAGAUUCCGGGCCCUACGGGGCGCAGCAGGCGCGAAACCUUUACACUGCACGACAGUGCGAUAGGGGGAUCCCAAGUGCACAGGCAUAGCGCCUGUGCUUUUCGGUACCGUAAGGUGGUACCAGAAUAAGGGCUGGGCAAGACCGGUGCCAGCCGCCGCGGUAAUACCGGCAGCCCAAGUGAUGGCCGAUCUUAUUGGGCCUAAAGCGUCCGUAGCUGGCCGCGCAAGUCCAUCGGGAAAUCCACCUGCUCAACAGGUGGGCGCCCGGUAGAAACUGCGUGGCUUGGGACCGGAAGGCGCGACGGG